GCUGGGCAUGGUGGCACACACCUGUAAUCCCAGUGGCUCAGGAGGCUGAGGCAGGAGGAUUGCAAGCUCAAAGCCAGCCUCAGCAAUUUAAGAAGGUCUUUAAGAAACUUGGUGAGACUCUGCCUCAA
rnacentral:sRNA from 1 species